rnacentral:rRNA from 1 species
ACUGUACUAAACUAACUAAAGUGGGGGAUAGUGAGGGGAUAAAUUUCCUUAAGGAACUCGGCAAAAUCCCAAUGGCCCACCAGGGCAUUUAACUUUUGUAGCAAGGUAUCAAGGUAUCAAGGUACCUUAUACGAAGGUGGGGUCCGGUAGGAUCCUACCUCCACCCUAACGGGUGGCGGUUACUUGUAUUGGAACACGGGCCUCGACUGUUUACCAAAAACAUAGCCCUCGGCCAAUAUGAAAAUAGAAGUAUGGAGGGUGAGGCCUGCCCAAUGGUUGUAUCUAAAAGCGGCUGAUGAAAGUCGAUCUCGUAAGGACAAUUGAAUGGCCGCGGUAACACUGACCGUGAUAAUGUAGCGUAAUCAAUAGCCAAUUAAUUGUUGGCCAGUAUGAAUGGCGCCACGAAGGCCCCACUGUCUUAAGGAAAUUCCCAGUGAAAUUGAAUUCGUAGUGAAGAUGCUACGUCCAAUUUGUUAGACGAAAAGACCCCGUUGAGCUUUACUGGGGCACUUACACGGCCCCGGCCUGCGAGACUAGGGACCAUACCUAGGGACCGGCUGAAUUUAAAUGGGCGGCUUAGACUAUGUGGCAGCCCCCGUCGGGGCAGAUGAAACCCCACUCCCCCAUGUCAAAGGGGCUAACCCCCCCUUGGGGGGGACAGUGUAAGUAGGACAGUUUGGUUGGGGCGACCGCCUUUUAGAGAGUAACGAAGGUGCGCUUAAGGUGCGCAAUUAAUGACUGAAGCCUGACUGCGAGGGGGACACCCCGAGCAGACACCCCCAAGCCCGCCCUCCCAGAAGGCGGCGGUGGGGGUGGGCCAUAGUGACCCGUUAAUUUAGAGUGGAAUAGUUAACGAUCAACGAAUAAAAGUUACCACGGGGAUAACAGCGUAAU